rnacentral:lncRNA from 1 species
UGGGCAAUGUCAUAUAGCUGCAUUAGCUUUUCGAAGUAUAGUAAGAACAUGAUACGGAAAGCUGUCUUCUGCAAAUAUGUUUUCAAUUACUAUUAAUACAUAGAUGAAGAAAGAGUCACUUUACUUCUGUUAUUGCAUUGUUGGUCCCUCUUGUUCAGAACUAAACAUGACAGACCCAUUUUGCAAAUGUCAAUGCGAAGAUUCAACAAGAUCAGUAACACGUCAACUUCAGGUUCAUAGAGAUUCGGCAACACUACUAGCAAAAGUGGAGUUUCACAUUCAAGUUCGAGAUUCAAAGAGAUCAAAUAUUUCUGGCUGUUCUGGCAACAGUACACUUUCAACUUGCCAUUCUUUCUUUCCUAAAGCAAAAGGAAACCAGAGAAAAUGGAAGA